AGCAGUAGCCGCGGGAAUACGUAGGGUGCGAGCGUUAAUCGGAAUUACUGGGCGUAAAGCGUGCGCAGGCGGUUUUGUAAGACAGGCGUGAAAUCCCCGGGCUCAACCUGGGAAUGGCGCUUGUGACUGCAAAGCUAGAGUGCGGCAGAGGGGGAUGGAAUUCCGCGUGUAGCAGUGAAAUGCGUAGAUAUGCGGAGGAACACCGAUGGCGAAGGCAAUCCCCUGGGCCUGCACUGACGCUCAUGCACGAAAGCGUGGGGAGCAAACAGGAUUAGAUACCCCUGUAGUCCCUGUCUCUUAUAA
rnacentral:rRNA from 1 species